UUGACAUUAAUAGAAUGAUCUUUUUUAAUAUGUCAAGAGUGUCCUCCAAGGGCAUCUAAAAUAUCUCCCACAAGUCCCAUUCAUAUUUACCCAACUGCAUGAAAUUCAUUAGUGUUCCUGUAACAUAGUGCACCAGCAAUACUAUUUAGGAAAACAAAUAUUACAAGCUCUCGAUGAUAUUGAUUGCAAUUUUCGAAUCUACAACACUAACAUAACUGCUCCAGAUAGCUCCUCAUAAAAAGUCUUCCCGACUUAAGGGAUUAACGAAAAUUCUACAAAACUGAAGUGCUAAUGCAACCAUGAAUCACGACAAAAAUUAUCCACUAGCUAAACCUUGUUAAGAUCCCCAUUUCACUUUAGUUAUUGCUUUGAAUACGAAGUCGAUCUAUGCAGCCACUGGUUGCUUCUGAGCAAAUGCAAUACCCUUCUCAAUGCUGGCCUUAAGUUCGGGCUUCAGAGCCUCCAGUGCCUUCUUCUCAUACUCGCUCAACCGUUGGAGAUCAGAUGAAAUGAUAGCUUCAACCCCAUUCCUUCCAAGUUUUACCCUUGAUGCAAAGAAUGGAAGCUCAGUAAGAUCCGACUGCACAAAUGUGCACUCGUAGACAUCACCAUCUCCAUCAAGUGCACGAAGAGAAGACUCAACAAAUCUGGCUGCACCAUAUGCCAUUGACAAGGUAGCAGACCCAGCACCAGCUUUUGCUUCCACAACUUCUGUCCCAGCAUUCUGGAUCUUCGCAGUUAGCUCCUGCACUUCCUCAUCACUGAAACUGAUUGAGGGUUUUGUCUUGGACAGAAGGGGAAGAAUGGUAAUCCCCGCAUGUCCUCCCACAACUGGGACAUCCACAUCAAUAAGCUUGAGGUUCUUCUUUUGAGCAACAAAUGUGUUUGCUCUUACAACAUCAAGAGUAGUAACACCAAAGAGCUUCUUUGGAUUAUAGACACCCUUCUGCUUCAGAACUUCAGCAGCAAUUGGCACUGUAGAGUUGACUGGAUUGCUAAUAAUGUGGAUGAAAGCAUCAGGGCAAUUAUCAGCAACAGCUUCAACCAAGGUCUUUACAAUGUUGGCGUUGAUGUUGAAGAGGUCAUCGCGAGUCAUUCCGGGCUUUCUAGGAACUCCAGCAGGUAUGACGACAACAUUUACGGCUUUCAAAGACUCAGCCAACUCAGAAGCGCCAGUAAAAUCCAGAACUUUAGAGGGAGUGUUACAGUGGCUGAGGUCAGCAGCGACUCCCUUAACAUUUGCUAUAUCAUACAGGUGCAGGGCUGAAACUAAUGGGGACAUCUUGAUUAGAAGGGCAAGGGGCUGACCUAUCCCUCCAGCAGCGCCAAGAAUUGCCACUUUGUAAGAGGCCUGGGGAUUUAGGUGAUGCUGUGACCUCUGGCUUGAUUUCUGGGCUUUUGAAGCAAAAGAUCCUCGAAGGGCCACAGCACUUUCCUUGCCUAUGAAGGAUGACUCUGAUUCACAGUUCACAGAGGUUGAUGCCUUGAGACCACUGAAGCUUGUUAGCGAGUUCUGGGAGUUGAACCUCACAACAAACUGCUUUGACUGUGGAAGUUGGCUCGCUUUCAGGCCCAAAGAGACAGCUGAGCCAACUGUAAAGGUUGCUGCUGAUGUUGCUGCCAUCUUGUAAGUCUUGAGAGAGAGAUCUAGAGAAGACAGAGGUGUAUGAAUGAGAGACGAUUGAAAUGGGUUGGUGAAUUGAAUUUAAGAGGAAAUGGUUUUGGGGGCUAAUGGGUUGAAACCUCCGCCAAUGGGCCUUGGAGGAAUCUGCCUUUUCAACACCUACUCUCUCAAACUAUCGACACCUCUCUGUCACAGCAACGGCCAACCUCCUCGUUUAUAAAUUUUUUUUUUUAUUUCCGUGUACCGAAUAGAUACGCCGCUGCACUCGGAAAAGAAUCUCCCUGUAAAUGUCCCCUUCCUUUUUCCUUUACUCGAUCUUGGCCGUUCGUUUUUAGCGGCUCCGAUUACACUUUUACCAGAUCGCAGCGCCUUGAAUCCCUUUCCUUAUUUCGUUUCAUUGUUUUCCUUUAUUUUCUUUCCAUUCCAUUCCUUUCUUUCCUAAUUUUU
rnacentral:misc_RNA from 1 species